rnacentral:misc_RNA from 1 species
AUGCAAUCCAAACAAUACAUAUUACAUUCACUCUUAUGAGAAUCGACGUGAAACUUGCAUUGAACAAAGAAGGUUUCACGGAGUAAAGGUUUCAGCCAUGGCGGCCAUCUGUUAUCUUCAUCCUCAGGACAACCAACACCCAUGAUUGUUGGAUUGUUGGGGUGGAUUUCUUCGAUAGCCAGAUUGAAGGAGGAAGAGAGUAGAAGAGAGAGAGAGAGGGUUUUAGAGUAAGGGGCGGCGAAGGGAAAAGGAAAGGGAAAGGGGAUUCUUGUAAGAGAGG